UACGUAGGGCGCAAGCGUUAUCCGGAAUUAUUGGGCGUAAAGAGCUCGUAGGCGGUUUGUCGCGUCUGCCGUGAAAGUCCGGGGCUCAACUCCGGAUCUGCGGUGGGUACGGGCAGACUAGAGUGCAGUAGGGGAGACUGGAAUUCCUGGUGUAGCGGUGAAAUGCGCAGAUAUCAGGAGGAACACCGAUGGCGAAGGCAGGUCUCUGGGGCUGU
rnacentral:rRNA from 1 species